UCUUAUGGAUGAUCAAAGAAAGUGGUUUCUUGAGAUAGAAUCUACUCCUGUUGAAGGUGCUGUGAA
rnacentral:pre_miRNA from 1 species